rnacentral:lncRNA from 1 species
CCCUCCUCUCUUCCUCCCUCCCUCCUAGAGGAGAGCCCUCCUUUCUUCCUCCCUCCCUCCUAGAGUAGAGCCCUAGUGUUUAUACUGAGGUAUCCUCUUCUAUUUCCAGUUGAAUCAAAACCAGACCAUCUAGUAGUCACACCUGUAGGCUGCCUCUCUCUCCCUGUGGCAUAGCUCUCUCCCUCUCCCUGUGGCAUAGCUCUCUCCCUGUGGCAUAGCUAUUUCCCUGUGGCAUAGCUCUCUCCCUGUGGCAUAGCUCACUCCCUGUGGCAUAGCUCUCUCUCUCACUCCCUGUGGCACAGCUAGGUCUCUCUCCCUCUCCCUGUGGCACAGCUAGGUCUCUCUCUCCCUCUCCCUGUGGCACAGCUAGGUCUCUCUCCCUCUCCCUGUGGCACAGCUAGGUCUCUCCCUGUGGCACAGCUAGGUCUCUCCCUGUGCAGCAGUACGUAGCAGCAGUACCUACCUGUAUGAUGGUUGUAGGUGUCUAACUAAUGUCUAACUAAUGUCUAACUAAUGUCAUAUACGUAGCAGCAGUACCUGUAUGAUGGUUGUAGGUGUCUGUAACUAAUGUCAUAUACGUAGCAG